rnacentral:lncRNA from 1 species
AUGCUGAACGGGGGGAGGGAGGGCCUGUUUCAGCUGGGACAGCAGCUCCAGCAGCAGGGGGAGUACCAGGCCGCCCUACACUGCUUCCUCAGCUCUCUGCUGGGGUUGAGGCAUGUGCAGAGCUUUACCUCACUGCCCAACUGCCUGCAUCAGCACAGGAUCAGCAUGUUUCCUGUUGACAGUGCACGGUACACGGUGAAGAGAAGGAGUCUGUCUGUCUGUCUAGCACAAGAACAGACAGAAAAAUGUCAAAUGGCUCUUUUGAAUAUUGCUGAGCUCUUCAUCUCCGAAAAUAAUUACGGCAAGGCCCUGCAGUUCAUUCAGGCUGAGAAGAUGUUCUAUGAGGUUGCUCUGAUCGAGCUCACUGCUGUUCAGGGGAGCACAGGCCCCCAGGAGGAGGCUUUGCUGGGCUCAGCAGGGACAGGAUGGGCGUCCUCAGAGGAGCUAUCGGAUCAGGCUUCCCAGGCACAGCACCUGGAGCAGCUAGCCCAGCUCUGCAUCGUGAGUAAAAGACCUCAUCUUGCUUUAGAGUACAGUGGGAAAGCCACUAAGAUCCAUCAGAGGGCCUUUGGCAACGACCACCCCAUCACAGACAGGAGUCUGGAGCUGCUGGCCACCGUCUACGCAGAGAUCGGCAAGACAGAAUACUCAGACUCCCUGGACCAGUGUGUGUCAGUGCUGUCCAAGAGGUUUGCUUCUGCCGAGUCCUUCAGAGACAAACUCAACAACGGUCUUCCCCAUUCCCACUCCCAUUCCCAUCGGGAGAAACACUCCGAUGUCUGGCACAGGAAAGACCCCAGUCCACAGGAUGACACACCAAAACCGAAGGUCACCAACGGUAAAAUCCCUACAUCCAUACUGAAGAGGUCUGGCUCAGGAUCAGACUCGGAGCCCAGCCACAGAUGGAAAGGCGAGCGACGGGUCCGGUUCCGGGAGCCUGAGACCACCGUGCAUGCCUAUGACACGUCACCGCCACGCCCCCACCUGGCCCUGUUCACCUGCUUGUUUCUGCUGAUGUCACUGCUGGGCGUGGUCAUGUACAGCACGGACCGCCGGCGCCCACAGCGUGUGUGUGAGGAGCUGGAGGCCUCGCUGGCUGUCUAUCUGAUACACAUGAAACAGCUGCUGUGGGGCUGCUGGAUCUGGCUAACCAUGCAGUGA